rnacentral:misc_RNA from 1 species
AAGAAAACAAAGGAUGUGCUGGCUUCAUUGCAUGUGCACUCCUAACCUCAUAUCCAUCCACCUGUGCACAUUCUGUAGGCAAAAAGCAAGAAAGGGCUUCAUUGUUCUCUUGUUCAUUGCCUAUGAUUUUAAGAUACCCCAAAGUACAAGUUGAAGAAUGUAAUAAAAGAAAAUUUAAAA